GUGAGAGGAGCGAGGGCAGCGCCCAGGAAACGCACAAGUGUGCGGGAGAGCCAGCACCAGGACGACAUCAUGGCAAAUUCCCAAACUGGACGGAUCCGGCUCGGGUUACGUCCAGCAGGGCCGAACCGGCCCAGGCCGGCCCCGGGGUCCUCAGUGCCGGCUGGAGGGGCUGGGCACCUCUGGGGCGGGGUUCUGCUCCACCUGCCCUCGGGGCGGACUGUGCCCUCGGCGGGCACGCGGACCGGCGGGGUAGGGCUAGGACCCGGCUUCUCUGGGCCAAGGAUCAAGGUCCCUGCCUGGAUUAGGUCCCCACGCAUUCCCGUCUUCGGAACCCGGCCUCUUAAGAGGGCGCAGUAGAGCCCCAGCGGAGCGCGAGAACCCGCUCUACAGCCUAUUUCUUCUCCGCCCUGGGCAGAGCCACCUGGACGUGAGACCCGCC
rnacentral:sRNA from 1 species